GAUGAACGCUGGCGGCGUGCCUAAUACAUGCAAGUCGAGCGAACAGACGAGGAGCUUGCUCCUCUGACGUUAGCGGCGGACGGGUGAGUAACACGUGGAUAACCUACCUAUAAGACUGGGAUAACUUCGGGAAACCGGAGCUAAUACCGGAUAAUAUAUUGAACCGCAUGGUUCAAUAGUUAAAGACGGUUUUGCUGUCACUUAUAGAUGGAUCCGCGCCGCAUUAGCUAGUUGGUAAGGUAACGGCUUACCAAGGCAACGAUGCGUAGCCGACCUGAGAGGGUGAUCGGCCACACUGGGACUGAGACACGGUCCAGACUCCUACGGGAGGCAGCAGUAGGGAAUCUUCCGCAAUGGGCGAAAGCCUGACGGAGCAACGCCGCGUGAGUGAUGAAGGUCUUCGGAUCGUAAAACUCUGUUAUUAGGGAAGAACAAAUGUGUAAGUAACUAUGCACGUCUUGACGGUACCUAAUCAGAAAGCCACGGCUAACUACGUG
rnacentral:rRNA from 1 species